UACGUAGGGUGCAAGCGUUACUCGGAAUUACUGGGCGUAAAGCGUGCGCAGGCGGUUUUGUAAGUCUGACGUGAAAUCCCCGGGCUCAACCUGGGAAUUGCGUUGGAGACUGCAAGGCUGGAGUCUGGCAGAGGGGGGUAGAAUUCCACGUGUAGCAGUGAAAUGCGUAGAGAUGUGGAGGAACACCGAUGGCGAAGGCAGCCCCCUGGGUCAAGAUUGACGCUCAUGCACGAAAGCGUGGGGAGCAAACAGG
rnacentral:rRNA from 1 species